GGCGGCAGGCUUAACACAUGCAAGUCGAGCGCCUCGCAAGAGGAGCGGCAGACGGGUGAGUAACACGUGGGAAUCUACCCAUCCUUACGGAACAACUCCGGGAAACUGGAGCUAAUACCGUAUACGCCCUUCGGGGGAAAGAUUUAUCGAGGAUGGAUGAGCCCGCGUUGGAUUAGCUAGUUGGUGGGGUAAAGGCCUACCAAGGCGACGAUCCAUAGCUGGUCUGAGAGGAUGAUCAGCCACAUUGGGACUGAGACACGGCCCAAACUCCUACGGGAGGCAGCAGUGGGGAAUAUUGGACAAUGGGCGCAAGCCUGAUCCAGCCAUGCCGCGUGAGUGAUGAAGGCCCUAGGGUUGUAAAGCUCUUUCACCGGAGAAGAUAAUGACGGUAUCCGGAGAAGAAGCCCCGGCUAACUUCGUGCCAGCAGCCGCGGUAAUACGAAGGGGGCUAGCGUUGUUCGGAUUUACUGGGCGUAAAGCGCACGUAGGCGGAUCGAUCAGUCAGGGGUGAAAUCCCAGAGCUCAACUCUGGAACUGCCUUUGAUACUGUCGAUCUGGAGUAUGGAAGAAGUGAGUGGA
rnacentral:rRNA from 1 species